rnacentral:rRNA from 1 species
CCUACGGGAGGCUGCAGUGGGGAAUAUUGGACAAUGGGCGAAAGCCUGAUCCAGCCAUGCCGCGUGUGUGAAGAAGGCCUUCUGGUUGUAAAGCACUUUCAGUGGGGAAGAAAGCCUUGGGGCUAAUACCCUCGAGGAAGGACAUCACCCACAGAAGAAGCACCGGCUAACUCCGUGCCAGCAGCCGCGGUAAUACGGAGGGUGCGAGCGUUAAUCGGAAUUACUGGGCGUAAAGCGCGCGUAGGCGGUCUGAUAAGCCGGUUGUGAAAGCCCCGGGCUCAACCUGGGAACGGCAUCCGGAACUGUCAGGCUAGAGUGCAGGAGAGGAAGGUGGAAUUCCCGGUGUAGCGGUGAAAUGCGUAGAGAUCGGGAGGAAUACCAGUGGCGAAGGCGGCCUUCUGGACUGACACUGACGCUGAGGUGCGAAAGCGUGGGUAGCAAACAGGAUUAGAUACCCCAGUAGUC